rnacentral:rRNA from 1 species
UACGUAGGGACCAAGCGUUGUUCGGAUUUACUGGGCGUAAAGGGCGCGUAGGCGGCAAUUCAAGUCAUCUGUGAAAUCUCCGGGCUUAACUCGGAACGGUCAGAUGAUACUGCUUUGCUAGAGUGCGGAAGGGGCAAUCGGAAUUCUUGGUGUAGCGGUGAAAUGCGUAGAUAUCAAGAGGAACACCUGAGGUGAAGACGGGUUGCUGGGCCGACACUGACGCUGAUAGCGCGAAAGCCAGGGGGGCAAACGGG